rnacentral:rRNA from 1 species
UACGGAGGGAGCUAGCGUUGUUCGGAAUUACUGGGCGUAAAGCGCGCGUAGGCGGUCCAUCAAGUCAGAGGUGAAAGCCCGGGGCUCAACCCCGGAACUGCCUUUGAAACUGGUAGACUAGAAUCUUGGAGAGGCGAGUGGAAUUCCGAGUGUAGAGGUGAAAUUCGUAGAUAUUCGGAAGAACACCAGUGGCGAAGGCGACUCGCUGGACAAGUAUUGACGCUGAGGUGCGAAAGCGUGGGGAGCAAAC